UGGGGAAUUUUGGACAAUGGGCGCAAGCCUGAUCCAGCCAUGCCGCGUGCGGGAAGAAGGCCUUCGGGUUGUAAACCGCUUUUGUCAGGGAAGAAAUCUUCUGAGUUAAUACCUCGGGAGGAUGACGGUACCUGAAGAAUAAGCACCGGCUAACUACGUGCCAGCAGCCGCGGUAAUACGUAGGGUGCAAGCGUUAAUCGGAAUUACUGGGCGUAAAGCGUGCGCAGGCGGUUUUGUAAGACAGAGGUGAAAUCCCCGGGCUCAACCUGGGAACUGCCUUUGUGACUGCAAGGCUUGAGUGCGGCAGAGGGGAUGGAAUUCCGCGUGUAGCAGUGAAAUGCGUAGAUAUGCGGAGGAACACCGAUGGCGAAGGCAAUCCCCUGGGCCUGCACUGACGCUCAUGCACGAAAGCGUGGGGAGCAAACAGGAUUAGAUACCCUGGUAGUCCACGCCCUAAACGAUGUCAACUGGUUGUUGGGAAGGUUCCUUCUCAGUAACGUAGCUAACGCGUGAAGUUG
rnacentral:rRNA from 1 species